UGGGGGAUAUUGCACAAUGGGCGAAAGCCUGAUGCAGCGACGCCGCGUGGGGGAUGAAGGCUUUCGGGUUGUAAACCUCUUUCGCUAUCGAACAAGGCCCGCUUAGGGUGGGUUGAGGGUAGGUGGAGAAGAAGCGCCGGCUAACUACGUGCCAGCAGCCGCGGUAAUACGUAGGGCGCGAGCGUUGUCCGGAAUUAUUGGGCGUAAAGGGCUUGUAGGCGGCUUGUUGCGCCUGCUGUGAAAACGCGGGGCUUAACUUCGCGCGUGCAGUGGGUACGGGCAGGCUUGAGUGUGGUAGGGGUGACUGGAAUUCCAGGUGUAGCGGUGGAAUGCGCAGAUAUCUGGAGGAACACCGAUGGCGAAGGCAGGGCACUGGGCCAUUACUGACGCUGAGGAGCGAAAGCGUGGGUAGCGAACAGG
rnacentral:rRNA from 1 species